rnacentral:rRNA from 1 species
UACAGGGGGUGCAAACGUUGCUCGGAAUCAUUGGGCGUAAAGCGCACGUAGGCGGUCUGUUAUGUCAGACGUGAAAUCCCUCGGCUUAACCGGGGAACUGCGUCUGAUACUGGAUGGCUAGAGUGUGGGAGAGGGAUGCGGAAUUCCAGGUGUAGCGGUGAAAUGCGUAGAUCUCGAGAGGAACACCAGUGGCGAAGGCGGCUCACUGGCCCGUAACUGACGCUCAUGCACGACAGCGUGGGGAUCAAACAGG